rnacentral:rRNA from 1 species
AUUCAACGCUGGCGGCGUGCCUAACACAUGCAAGUCGAACGAGAAAGUGGAGCAAUCCAUGAGUACAGUGGCGACCGGGUGAGUAACACGUGACUAACCUACCCUCGAGUGGGGGAUAACUCCGGGAAACCGGGGCUAAUACCGCAUAACAUCGCUUGGUGAAAUUCCUUGUGAUCAAAGGAGCAAUUCGUUUGAGGAGGGAGUCGCGUCUGAUUAGCUAGUUGGUGAGGUAACGGCCCACCAAGGCGAUGAUCAGUAGCCGGCCUGAGAGGGCGCACGGCCACACUGGAACUGAAACACGGUCCAGACUCCUACGGGAGGCAGCAGUGGGGAAUUUUGCGCAAUGGGGGGAACCCUGACGCAGCAACGCCGCGUGGAGGAUGAAGUCCUUUGGGAUGUAAACUCCUUUCGACCGGGAAGAUUAUGACGGUACCGGAGGAAGAAGCACCGGCUAACUCUGUGCCAGCCGCCGCAGUAACAC